rnacentral:rRNA from 1 species
AUUGAACGCUGGCGGCAGGCUUAACACAUGCAAGUCGAGCGGAGACUUCGGUCUUAGCGGCGAACGGGUGAGGAAUGCCUGGGAAUCUGCCUGGUAGUGGGGGAUAACGUUCCGAAAGGAACGCUAAUACCGCAUACGUCCUACGGGAGAAAGCAGGGGACCUUCGGGCCUUGCGCUAUCAGAUGAGCCCAGGUCGGAUUAGCUAGUAGGUGAGGUAAAGGCUCACCUAGGCGACGAUCCGUAGCUGGUCUGAGAGGAUGAUCAGCCACACUGGAACUGAGACACGGUCCAGACUCCUACGGGAGGCAGCAGUGGGGAAUAUUGGACAAUGGGCGAAAGCCUGAUCCAGCCAUGCCGCGUGUGUGAAGAAGGCCUUCGGGUUGUUAAAGGACACUUUAAGUACGGGGAGGGAAGGUAC